rnacentral:rRNA from 1 species
UAGGGAAUCUUCGGCAAUGGACGGAAGUCUGACCGAGCAACGCCGCGUGAGUGAAGAAGGUUUUCGGAUCGUAAAGCUCUGUUGUUAGAGAAGAACGUUGGUAGGAGUGGAAAAUCUACCAAGUGACGGUAACUAACCAGAAAGGGACGGCUAACUACGUGCCAGCAGCCGCGGUAAUACGUAGGUCCCGAGCGUUGUCCGGAUUUAUUGGGCGUAAAGCGAGCGCAGUCGGUUCUUUAAGUCUGAAGUUAAAGGCAGUGGCUUAACCAUUGUACGCUUUGUAAACUGGAUGACUUGAGUGCAGAAGGGGAGGGUGGAAUUCCAUGUGUAGCGGUGAAAUGCGUAGAUAUAUGGAGGAACACCGGUGGCGAAAGCGGCUCUCUGGUCUGUAACUGACGCUGAGGCUCGAAAGCGUGGGGAGCAAACAGG